rnacentral:lncRNA from 1 species
UCCAUUUAUGCUUUAAUUGCCAGCUAGAGUAGUUCCCAACUUUCAAACACUUAUCAAAUCUAACUAUUGACGUGGCCAUAAUUGACCAUCUCUCUCACUAAGCAAAUGUCAUUAGGAAAUGGAAUCCAUCAACCAAAAUCACGGGUUUUAAUUAGAAAACCAAUAAUGCAAGAGGCAAUUCGACCAGCCAGAAACUAGGAACAAUCAAUCCAA